GAUGAACGCUGGCGGCGUGCCUAAUACAUGCAAGUCGAGCGAACAGACGAGGAGCUUGCUCCUCUGACGUUAGCGGCGGACGGGUGAGUAACACGUGGAUAACCUACCUAUAAGACUGGGAUAACUUCGGGAAACCGGAGCUAAUACCGGAUAAUAUAUUGAACCGCAUGGUUCAAUAGUGAAAGACGGUUUUGCUGUCACUUAUAGAUGGAUCCGCGCCGCAUUAGCUAGUUGGUAAGGUAACGGCUUACCAAGGCAACGAUGCGUAGCCGACCUGAGAGGGUGAUCGGCCACACUGGAACUGAGACACGGUCCAGACUCCUACGGGAGGCAGCAGUAGGGAAUCUUCCGCAAUGGGCGAAAGCCUGACGGAGCAACGCCGCGUGAGUGAUGAAGGUCUUCGGAUCGUAAAACUCUGUUAUUAGGGAAGAAUAAAUGUGUAAGUAACUAUGCACGUCUUGACGGUACCUAAUCAGAAAGCCACGGCUAACUACGUG
rnacentral:rRNA from 1 species